rnacentral:rRNA from 1 species
AGCGAACGCUGGCGGCAGGCUUAACACAUGCAAGUCGAGCGGGCAUCCUUGGCUUGCCAGCGGCUGACGGGUGAGUAAGGCGUGUGAACGUUCCCUUCGGUUCGGAAUAACUCGGGGAAAGUCGGGCUAAUAGCGGAUACGCCCGAGAGCAGAAAGGUGUGUCUGCGGGAGGAUCGGCCCGCGUCUGCUUAGCUAGUUGGUGAGGUUACGGGUCAUCAAGGCGGGGAUCAGAAGCUGGCCUGGGAGGAUGAUCAGCCCCACUGGGACGGAGACCCGGCCCAAAUGCCUGCGGGAGGCCGCAGUGGUGAUCAUUGCAUACCGGGGGCAACACUGAGCCCGCCGGGCUGCGUGGGUGAUGAAGGCGUUAGGAUUGUAAGGCACUUUUCUCCGGGACGUUAUUGCCGGUACCGGAGAAAUAGGCCCCGCCUACCUCCGU